GUACUUGCCUACGACCACUUGCCUCCCUUUGCUCGGUCGUUUAAACCAAGUAUUCAGCACCCAAUGGGUUCAAAGUACUUGUUGCUCUGCCUUUGCACCCUCCUAGUGCUCUCAGGAGCCAUCGCUAGAGAUAUCCCCGCCUCCGGAGCCGCCCCCGUUGCUCAUGCGGCUCCCAAGGGCGAUGCCGGCACCCACGGUGAGCAAUCUGCCACAACUCAUUCUCCUGUUUUGUGUGGUUGUUUAUGUUCUUCCAAAAGAGGGUUUUUUAACAUGGUUCCUCUCACCUCCUCUUUUCAUAAUAAAGAUAAGAGUAUAUAAUAGAUCUGAGCCGUUGAUUACAUUAAAUAGUGGUCUGACUAAUUCUUACCUUUUUACCUUCCGUAUGAAAAGAGGGGGUAAGAGGGACCAUGUUAAAAUCGCUCUGACCGAAAAGCAUAAUAUAUACGGGUUAGUUGAUCAUUUCCUACCUCUCACCGCAGGUGUUGAUGUUGGGGAGCAACAGCCGCGGCUUCCACCUAGAUUCCGCUGCCCGUUCCCCCCCUUUUGCCGCGGUGCUACACAUCCAUGAAAAGAAGAUUACGGUGGCCAUGUAACCAUGCUACCCUGGUGCGGCAAUAAAUAAUCAAAUCAGAUCUCGCUUGAAACUAUAUAUACGUGUGUGUUUUAAUCUCCGUGCUCCUCAGCAUGUUAUGCCUGUAACCAUCGUGCUUAUCGGUCCUAUGUUAAACCAUUUGCCCCCCUUCUUGUAAUUUAUGCCGUUCUAUCACCUCCCUUCAUGUAAUGUCAUGUAUGUUAUCCACUUGAAUAAAUCGCGCCAGAGCAUCAUAGAUUCUGUGAUACCUCAAGAAUGAAAGUUUUAUUUUAUACUACAGAACAAUGACAUUCUGAACGGGAGAAAAUGUUAGUAGUAAGCGAUGCACCCACCCUCGUCAAGCUGGACUCAAAAUGCUACGUUCCACCACAAGUUCGAGCAAAUAGCAGCUGCAAGACUGGCUACGUAUCUUCAAAAUGACAACCUCGCAACAACAAAUAAUCAUAGAUUGCAGCUCUGAAAGACUCAUCAUAGACCUCGCCAUGUCCAACGAGUUUUGAUUACGCCGCUCGGACACACCAUGUUAUUUGGCGUGUCUCACAGGAUGUAAGCUAUGGAACAAUUCUACAAUUCUUCAUAUGACCUCCAAACUCAUUCAUCAAAUAUACACACCCACGAUUGGAUCACAAAAUUUUUAUUUCUUCUCAAGAAAACAUUCCUAGCCAGUUCUCGUCCUUGGAAAUACGUAUUAGAGGCAAUAAACAAGUUGUAUUACUCUAUUUCCUUCAUUUUAAUGACUACGUUUCUAUGCUAUGUUAUAAUUUUAAUAUGUUCUGAAUGAGAUGUUUUAGAGGAAAACCAAAUAACAUGUGUGGAAUAAUAAAAACUAAACCUAGAUCCCUAGUCAGUUAUCUAGGUUGGUUUAUUAAUUAUAGAUGAUCUUGUUUUCAUGAUUUAGAGGGUUUGAUCGAUCGAGCAGCUGAACCCCGUAGAUGUAACAAGACUCACAGGAACUAUAGUGGUUCUCAGAAGAUAUAUUGUUAUUAUACUGUUAGAAGUAUAUUUACGUUUAAGAUAGAGAUAAGAGAUAGAAAUAGGAUAGGUUUAACUUGUCCUCUACUCCAAGUCUCUCUCCCUCCAUUGUACCUCUAUAUAUACACGGGUCAGAUUAAUAUAACAUAAUAUUCAGCCAUCCUACAGUUUUCCACAUGGUAUAAGAGCCAUUAGACCAACGUCGCUCGAUCCUUGGUCCUUCCACGACUUCCGCGGCAAUGCCGCCCCCGGGAGAUUAAUCUCCUCUUCCCGGGGGCGCGGCACCCGAUCAAUCAAGAUCGGCUCAUAGUUUAGAUCAAUUCCUUAGAUUAGAUCAAUUUCCAAAUUUUCAUAGUAGAUUGAUUUUUUCUUAGCCACCAAAUAAAUCCAGCGAUCUGUAAAUCCGGUGAUAAUCAGUGCAAGAUCCAUCAUCGUGCGCCUCGAGCGGAUCUACAUCGACACACAGCCGGCCUGCGCCGCUCCGAUCAGCCAUAGCCAUCUUCUCCAACAAAGACGCGUACCUCCUGAUCACGGGAGGGUGAUACUACCACGCACGAGAUCUCUCGGCAGGAGCAGAUCCCACGCGUCGCCUGCAUGGAGUCAUAUGAGCGCUGGCCGGAUCCAUCCCGAUCUCUGCCCGGCUGAUACCCACGAACCAACCACAACUCCGGGCUCCAUCAGCAUCCAUCCGGCGAAACACGAAGCAACCAGCAGACCCAGGUACGUCCAUGCACUCAGAUGAGGCUUCAAUAAGGUCUGCAUCGAGUUCUCCUGUACCGGCAGUAUGCCCCAGUUUCAACAUGAAGCACCGGGCAAACUGCACCGACCGAUCUACGCCGAGCAAAGCAAUUUACAUUGAUCUAGCCGGCCGGUACGCACCGGCGCCAACUGCGUCGACUCCACGAGCAUGCAUCUGAUGUGUGACUCAUGCGAGCGCAUCGAGACCUGGAGGGCGGAACGUGCAACCGCACACCUCCUGUCCAUGCGCAUCCAUCGACUCGGCUUCAGCUACUCGACGCCUCGCCUUCAACAACGGGUCACAGGCACCUACAUGAGCACUUCUGCAUCGCCGGGCUAUGGAUCUAUAUCUGCAUCAACCAGACCAACGACAUGCAUCUACGUAACCGAUCUUCAUCUGCAUUGACCCCGAGCCGAACGACAUCAACCUGUACGACUACGCCGGGCUAUGAGCGAACAUACUUCUUCAGCAUGGCGCGACAUCGACACUUCGUCACGCGGAGGGACGCCUUCCAGCGACGCAUCAUCGUCGACAUGCCGCUGCAAUGUUAUCGCCGACACUUCAUCGCCAAGGUCUUCAUCAACGUCGUCUUCACCAACAUCUUCAUCAACACACCGCCGCCGCCUCGUCCACAAGAUGGGCACCUAGCGUCCUCUGACAGACUUGUCUGCAAGACGCGACCUCGACGACGGCAAUGACCGCGUCACGACGACGGCAUCGACCGCGUCAUCCAUAACUACACGACUGCAUCGACACGGCAUCACUACAAUGACGACCCUACACGGCCACACGGUUCUGGCAAAACCGAUAUGUGCUCGAUGGGCUUCCUCCGGUCUUGGCAAAAUCGGUGGACUCAUCGCCGACGGCACCCUCUGACAUUAGCAAGGUGCAUCGUCCACGUCUGCAGCUCCGUCAUAGCGCAUUUUUUUUUGCGCCUCCGGCUUUGUGCGGCUUCAUCAUCCACGACGACCACACCAUCGACCACGACUACCUCGACCACGGCUACAUCAUCAUGAUCGGCUACCUCGACAUUAAAGGCUACGUCUACAACAACUCAUCGGCAACAACUCCAGUCAACAGCGUCAGCCUCGUCACUUGCGUCCACGACACUCCCGCUGUGACUGCGGGAGGGAAUAGAGGAGAAGGCAGGAAGGCACCAGAAGGGGACACAGUCACCGCCCUAGGUGCCGACCCAUCAGAGACGCAGUUGAUGAUGGUGCGGCGGAGAAGACGACGAAAGCACAAGAGUUCAAAUUCAGUCGUCAUCGUUCGCUUCACUCCCGCUACGACUGAGGGGGAAUGUUAGAAGUAUAUUUACGUUUAAGAUAGAGAUAAGAGAUAGAAAUAGGAUAGGUUUAACUUGUCCUCUACUCCAAGUCUCUCUCCCUCCAUUGUACCUCUAUAUAUACCCCUACACGGGUCAGAUUAAUAUAACAUAAUAUUCAGCCAUCCUACAGUUUUCCACAUAUACAAUGGUGAUAUUGUGAUCUACACCGAAGUAAUGCAACGUAUGUUAUCCAAUUGAAUAAAUCAUGCCACGGCGUCACCAUAGAUUUUGUGAUACAUGAAGAAAAAAAGUUUUCCAUUAUAGUAUAGAACAAUGAUAUUCUGAAUGGGAGAAGAUAUUGGUUUAAGUGAUACACCCACCCUCGUGAAGUUGAACUCAAAAUGCUAAGUUCCACCACAAGUUCGAGAAGGUAGCAGCUGCAAGACUGGCUUGAUAUCUUCAAAAUAACAACCCCAAAAAGAGAAUGACAGUUCUGAAAGACUCGUCACAGACCUCACCCUGUCCAGUAAGAUUCUUACGCCACUCGAACACACCAUGUUAUUUGGGGCGCCUCACACGAUAUAAGCUACAGAACAAUUCCGCAAUCUUCAGAUGACCUCCAAACUCAUUCGUCAGAUAUUCACACCCACGGUCGGAUCAAAAUUUAAUUUUCUUGUCAGGAAAACAUCCCUAGCCAGUUCUCGUUGAUGGAAAUAUGAGUUAGAAGCAAUAAAUAAAUUGUAUUAUUCUAUUUCCUGUAUGUUAAUGAUUACAUUUUUAUGCCAUUUUAUAAUUUUAAGAUGUUCUGAAUGGGAUGUUUCGGAGGAAGACCAAAUAACUUUUUCACCAGAGUCCAUUCAAACACACGUGCUAGGUCCACGCCUUUUCCGGAGGACGCCGUGUUGGGGAACGUAGUAAUUUCAAAAAAAUUCCUACGCACACGCAAGAUCAUGGUGAUGCAUAGCAACGAGAGGGGAGGGUGUUGUCCACGUACCCUCGUAGACCGUAAGCGGAAGCGUUAUCACAACGCGGUUGAUGUAGUCGUACGUCUUCACGACUCGACCGAUCCAAGUACCGAACGUACGGCACCUCCGUGUUCAGCAUACGUUCAGCUCGAUGACGUUCCCCGGGCUCCAAUCCAGCAAAGCGUCGGGGAUGAGUUCCAUCAGCACGACGGCGUGGUGACGAUGAUGAUGUUCUACCGGCGCAGGGCUUCGCCUAAACUCCGCGACGAUAUGACCGAGGUGGAAUAUGGUGGAGGGGGGCACCACACACGGCUAAGGAACGAUCCGUAGAUCAACUUGUGUGUCUAUGGGGUGCUCCCUGCCCCCGUAUAUAAAGGAGGGAGGGGGGAGGUGCGGCCGGCCAGGAGGGGCGCGCCAGGAGGAGUCCUCCUCCCACCGGGAGUAGGACUCCCCCCCUUCCUUGUUGGAGUAGGAGAGAAGGAAAGAGGGGGAGAGGAGGAAGGAAAAGGAGGCUGCACCCCUUGUCCAAUUCGGACCAGAGGGGGGCUGCGCACCUCCUUCCUUUCGGCCUCUCUCCUCUAUUCCCGUAUGGCCCAAUAAGGCCCAUAUACUCCCCGGCGAAUUCCCGUAACUCUCCGGUACUCCGAAAAAUACCCGAAUCACUCGGAACCUUUCCGAACUCCGAAUAUAGUCGUCCAAUAUAUCGAUCUUUACGUCUCGACCAUUUCGAGACUCCUCGUCAUGUCCCCGAUCUCAUCCGGGACUCCGAACUCCUUCGAUACAUCAAAACUCAUAAACUCAUAAUAUAACUGUCAUCUGAACCUUAAGCAUGCGGACCCUAUGGGUUCGAGAACUAUGUAGACAUGACCUAGAACUGUUUCCGGUCAAUAACCAAUAGUGGAACCUGGAUGUUCAUAUUGGCUCCUACAUAUUCUACGAAGAUCUUUAUCGGUCAAACCGCAUAACAACAUACGUUGUUCCCUUUGUCAUCGGUAUGUUACUUGCCCGAAUUCGAUCGUCGGUAUCCAAUACCUACUUCAAUCUCGUUACCAGCAAGUCUCUUUACUCGUUUCGUAAUACAUCAUCCCACAACUAACUCAUUAGUUGCGAUGCUUACAAGGCUUUAAGUGAUGUGUAUUACCGAGAGGGCCCAGAGAUACCUCUCCGACAAUCGGAGUGACAAAACCUAAUCUCGAAAUACGCCAACCCAACACGUACCUUCAGAGACACCUGUAGAGCACCUUUAUAAUCACCCAGCUACGUUGUGACGUUUGCUAGCACACAAAGUGUUCCUCUGGUAAACGGGAGUUGCAUAAUCUCAUAGUCACAGGAACAUUUAUAAGUCAUGAAGAAAGCAGUAGCAACAUACUAAACGAUCAUGUGCUAAGCUAACGGAAUGGGUCAAGUCAAUCACAUCAUUCUCCUAAUGAUGUGAUCCCGUUAAUCAAAUGACAACUCUUUUGUCCACGGCUAGGAAACUUAACCAUCUUUGAUUCACGAGCUAGUCAAGUAGAGGCAUGCUAGUGACACUAUGUUUGUCUAUGUAUUCACACAUGUAUUAUGUUUCCGGUUAAUACAAUUCUAGCAUGAAUAAUAAACAUUUAUCAUGAAAUAAGGAAAUAAAUAAUAACUUUAUUAUUGCCUCUAGGGCAUAUUUCCUUCAGUCUCCCACUUGCACUAGAGUCAAUAAUCUAGUUCACAUCACCAUGUGAUUUAAUACCAAUAUUCACAUCUGUAUGUGAUUAAUACCCAUAGUUCACAUCGUCAUGUGAUCAACGCCCAAAGGGUUUACUAGAGUCAAUAAUCUAGUUCACAUGGCUAUGUGAUUAACACCCAAAGAGUACUAAGGUAUGAUCAUGUUUUGCUCAUGAGAGAAGUUUAGUCAACGGGUCUGUCACAUUCAGAGCCGUAUGUAUUUUGCAAAUAUUCUAUGUCCACAAUGCUCUGCACGGAGCUACUCUAGCUAAUUGCUCCCACUUUCAAUAUGUAUCCAGAUUGAGACUUAGAGUCAUCUGGAUUGGUGUAAAAGCUUGCAUUGUUGUAACUUUUUACGACCGACUCUUUUAUCACCUCCAUAAUCGAGAAACAUCUCCUUAGUCCUCACUAAGGAUAUUCUUGACCGCUGUUUUAGUGAUCUACUUUUAGAUCAAAAUUGUAUUCCUUUGCCAAACUCAGAGCAAGGUAUACAAUAGGUCUAGUACACAACAUAGCAUACUUUAUAGAACCUAUGACUGAGGCAUAGGGAAUGACUGUUCAUUCUUUUCUAUUUUCUGCCAUGGUCGGGUUUUGAGUCUUACUCAACUUCACACCUUGCAACACAGGCAAGAACUCUUUCUUUGACUGUUCCAUUUUGAACUACUUCAAAAUCUUGUCAAGGUAUGUACUCAUUGAAAAAUCUUAUCAAGCGUCUUGAUCUAUCUCUAUAGAUCUUGAUGCUCAAUGUGUAAGCAACUUCACCAAGGUUUUUCUUUGAAAAACUCCUUUCAAACACUCCUUUAUGCUUUCCAGAAAAAUUAUACAUUAUUUCCGAUCAACAAUAUGCCAUUCACAUAUACUUAUCAGAAAUGUUGUAGUGCUCCCACUCACUUUCUUGUAAAUACAGGCUUCACCGGAAGUCUGUAUUAAAACUAUAUGCUUUGAUCAACUUAUCAAAGCGUAUAUUCCAACUCCGAGAUGCUUGCACCAGUCCAUUGAUGGAUCGCUGGAGCUUGCACAUUUUGUUAGCACCUUUCGGAUCGACAAAACCUUCUGGUUGCAUCAUAUACAACUCUUCUUUUAAGAAAACCAUUAAGGAAUCCAGUUUUGACAUUCAUUUGCCAGAUUUCAUAAAAUGUGGCAAUUGCUAACUUGAUUCAGACAGACUUUAAGCCUCGCUACAGUUGAGAAAAUCUCAUUGUAGUCAACCCCUUGAACUUGUCAAAACCCUUUUGCGACAAGUCGAGCUUUGUAGAUAGUAACACUACUAUCAACGUCCGUCUUCCUCUUGAAGAUCCAUUUAUACAAUAUGGCUUGCCGAUCAUCGGGCAACUCCACCAAAGUCCACACUUUGUUCUCAUACAUGGAUCCCAUCUCAGAUUUCAUGGCCUCAAGCCAUUUCACGGAAUCUGGGCUCAUCAUCGCUUCCUCAUAGUUCGUAGGUUCAUCAUGGUCUAGUAACAUGACUUCCAGAAUAGGAUUACCGUACCACUCUGGUGCGGAUCUUAAUCUGGAAGAUCUACAAAGUUCGGUAGUAACUCGAUCUGAAGUUUUAUGAUCAUCAUCAUUAGCUUACUCACUAAUUGGUGUAGAAAUCACUGGAACUGAUUUCUGUGAUGAACUACUUUCCAAUUCGGGAGAAGGUACAAAUUACCUUAUCAAGCUCUACUUUCCUCCCACUCACUUCUUUCGAGAGAAACUCCUUCUCUAGAGAGGAUCCGUUUUUAGCAACGAAUAUCUUGCUUUCGGAUCUGUGAUAGAAGGUGUACCCAACAGUUUCCUUUGGGUAUUCUAUGAAGACGCACUUCUCCGAUUUGAGUUUGAGCUUAUCAGGAUGAAACUUUUUUCACAUAAGCAUCACAGCCCCAAACUUUAAGAGAUGACAACUUGGAUUUCUUGCUAAACCACAGUUCAUAUGGUGUCGUCUCAACGGAUUUAGAUGGUGCCCUUUUAAUCGUGAAUGCAGCUGUCUCUAAUGCAUAACCCCAAAACGACAAUGGUAAAUCAAUAAGUGACAUCAUAAAUCGCAUCAUAUCCAAUAAAGUGCGGUUACGACGUUCGGACACACCAUAACGUUGUGGUGUUCCAGGUGGCGUGAGCUGUGAAACUAUUCCACAUUGUUUUAAUUGAAGACCAAACUCAUAACUCAAAUAUUCAUCUCCACGAUCAGAUCGCAGAAACUUUAUUUUCUUGUUACGAUGAUUUUCCACUUCACUCUGAAAUUCUUUGAACCUUUCAACUAUUUCAGACUUAUGUUUCAUCAAGUAGAUAUACCCAUAUCUGCUUAAAUCAUCUGUGAAGGUCACAAAAUAACGAUACUCGCCACGAGCCUUAAUACUCAUUGGUCUGCAUACAUCAGCAUGUAUUAUUUCCAACAAGUUUGUUGCUCGUUCCAUUGUUCCGAAGAACGGAGUUUUAGUUAUCUUGCCCAAAAGGCACGGUUCGCAAGCAUCAAAUGAUUCAUAACCAAGUGAUCCGAAAAUCCAUCUUUCUGGAGUUUCUUCAUGCGCUUUACACCGAUAUGACCCAAACGGCAGUGCCACAAAUAAGUUGCACUAUCAUUAUUAACUUUGCAUCUUUUGUCAUCAAUAUUAUGAAUAUGUGUAUCACUAUGAUCGAGAUCUAAUAAACUAUUUUCAUUGGGUGUAUGACCAUUGAAGGUUUUAUUCAUGUAAACAGAACAACAAUUAUUCUCUGACUUUAAAUGAAUAACCGUAUUGCAAUAAAUAUGAUCAAAUCAUAUUCAUGCUCAACGCAAACGCUAAAUAACAUUUAUUUAGGUUUAACACUUAUCCCGAAAGUUUAGGAAGUGUGCGAUGAUGAUCAUAUCAAUCUUGGAACUACUUCCAACACUCAUCGUCACUUCCCUUUCAACUAGUCUCUGUUUAUUCUGUAACUCCUGUUUCGAGUUACUAAUAUUUAGCAACCGAACAAGUAUCAAAUACUCAGGGGCUACUAUAAACACUAGCAAAGUACACAUCAAUAACAUGUAUAUCAAAUAUACCCUUGUUCACUUUGCCAUCCUUCUUAUCCACCAAAUAUUCAGGGCAUUUCCACUUCCAGUGACCAUUUCCUUUGCAGUAUAAUCAUUCAGUUUCAGGCUUUGGUCCAGCUUUGGGCUUCUUUGCAGGAGUGACAACUUGUUUGUCAUUCUACUUGAAGUUUCCCUUUCUUUCCCUUUGCCCUUUUCUUGAAACUAGUGAUCUUGUAAACCAUCAACACUUGAUGCUCUUUCUUGAUUUUUACCUUCGUCGAUUUCAACUUCACGAAGAGUUCGGGAAUCGUUUUCGUCAUCCAUUGCAUACUGUAGUUCAUCACAAAGUUCUACUAACUUGGUGAUGGUGACUAGAGAACUUUGUCAAUCACUAUCUUAUCUGGAAGGUUAACUCCCACUUGAUUCAAGGGAUUGUAGUACCCAGACAAUCUGAGAACAUGCUCACUAGUUGAGCGAUUCUCCUCCAUCUUUUAGCCAUAGAACUUGUUGGAGACUUCAUAUCUCUCAACUCGGGUAUUUGCUUGAAAUAUUAACUUCAACUCCUGGAACAUCUCAUAUGGUCCAUGACGUUCAAAACGUCUUUGAAGUCCCGAUUCUAAGACGUUAAGCAUGGUGCACUAAACUAUCAAGUAGUCAUCAUAUUGAGCUAGCCAAACAUUCAUAACGUCUGCAUCUGCUCCUGCAAUAGGUCUGUCACCUAGUGGUGCAUUAAGGACAUAAUUCUUCUGUGCAGCAAUGAGGAUAAACCUCAGAUCACGGAUCCAGUCCGCAUCAUUUCUACCAACAUCUUUCAACAUAAUUUUCUCUAGAAACAUAUCAAAAUAAACAUAUGAAAGCAACAAUGCAAGCUAUUGAUCUACAACAUAAUUUGCAAAAUACUACCAGGACUAAGUUCAUGAUAAAUUUAAGUUCAAUUAAUCAUAUUACUUAAGAACUCCCACUUAGAUAGACAUCCCUCUAAUCCUCUAAGUGAUUACGUGAUCCAUAUCAACUACACCAUGUCCGAUCGUCACGUGAGAUGGAGUAGUUUCAACAGUAAACAUCAAUAUGUUGAUCAUAUCUACUAUAUGAUUCACGCUCGACCUUUCGGUCUCCGUGUUCCGAGGCCAUAUCUGUUAUAUGCUAGGCUCGUCAAGUUUAACCUGAGUAUUCCGCAUGCGCAACUGUUUUGCACCCGUUGUAUUUGAACGUAGAGCCUAUCACACCCGAUCAUCACGUGGUGUCUCAGCACGUAAAACUUUCGCAACGGUGCAUACUCAGGGAGAACACUUCUUGAUAAUUUAGUGAGAGAUCAUCUUAAAAUGCUACCGUCAAACUAAGCAAAAUAAGAUGUAUAAAAGAUAAACAUCGCAUGCAAUCAAUAUAAGUGAUAUGAUAUGGCCAUCAUCAUCUUGUGCUUGUGAUCUCCAUCUCCAAAGUACUGUCAUGAUCUCUAUCGUUACCGGCACGACACCAUGAUCUUCAUCAUCUUGAUCUAUAUCAAUGUGUCGUCACAUGGUCGUCUCGCCAACUAUUGCUCUUGCAACUAUUGCUAUCGUAUAGCGAUAAAGUAAAGCAAUUAUUUGGCACUUGCAUCUUAUGCAACAAAGAGACAACCAUAGAGCUUCUGCCAGUUGCCGAUAACUUCAACAAAACAUGAUCAUCUCAUACAACAACUUAUAUCUCAUCACGUUUUGACCAUAUCACAUCACAACAUGCCCUGCAAAAACAAGUUAGACGUCCUCUACUUUGUUGUUGCAAAUUUUACGUGGCUGUUACGGGCUGAGCAAGAACCGUUCUUACCUACGCAUCAAAAUCACAACGAUAGUUCGUCAAGUUAGUGUUGUUUUAACCUUCUCAAGGACCGGGCGUAGCCACACUCAGUUCAACUAAAGUUGGAGAAACAGACACCCGCUAGUCACCUGUGUGCGAAGCACGGCGGUAAAACCAGUCUCGCGUAAGUGUACGCGUAAUGUCAGUCCGGGCCGCUUCAUCCAACAAUACCGCUGAACCAAAGUAUGACAUGCUGGUAAGCAGUAUGACUUGUAUCGCCCACAACUCACUUGUGUUCUACUCGUGCAAAUAACAUCAACGCAUAAAACCUUGGCUCGGAUGCCACUGUUGGGGAACGUAGUAAUUUCAAAAAAUUUCCUACGCACAUGCAAGAUCAUGGGGAUGCAUAGCAACGAGAGGGGAGAGUGUUGUCCACGUACCCUCGUAGACCGUAAGCGGAAGCGUUAUCACAACGCGGUUGAUGUAGUCGUACGUCUUCACGACUCGACCGAUCCAAGUACCGAACGUACGGCACCUCCGUGUUCAGCAUACGUUCAGCUCGAUGACGUUCCCCGGGCUCCAAUCCAGCAAAGCGUCGGGGAUGAGUUCCAUCAGCACGACGGCGUGGUGACGAUGAUGAUGUUCUACCGGCGCGGGGCUUCGCCUAAACUCCGCGACGAUAUGACCGAGGUGGAAUAUGGUGGAGGGGGGCACCGCACACGGCUAAGGAACGAUCCGUAGAUCAACUUGUGUGUCUAUGGGGUGCCCCCUGCCCCUGUAUAUAAAGGAGGGAGGGGGGAGGUGCGGCCGGCCAAGAGGGGCGCGCCAGGAGGAGUCCUCCUCCCACCGGGAGUAGAACUCCCCCCUUCCUUGUUGGAGUAGGAGAGAAGGAAAGAGGGGGAGAGGAGGAAGGAAAAGGGGGCUGCACCCCUUGUCCAAUUCGGACCAGAGGGGGGCUGUGCACCUCCUUCCUUUCGGCCUCUCUCCUCUAUUCCCGUAUGGCCCAAUAAGGCCCAUAUACUCCCCGGCGAAUUCCCGUAACUCUCCGGUACUCCGAAAAAUACCCGAAUCACUCGGAACCUUUAUGAACUCCGAAUAUAGUCGUCCAAUAUAUCGAUCUUUACGUCUCGACCAUUUUGAGACUCCUCGUCAUGUCCCCGAUCUCAUCCGGGACUCCGAACUCCUUCGAUACAUCAAAACUCAUAAACUCAUAAUAUAACUGUCAUCGAAACCUUAAGCGUGCGGACCCUACGGGUUCGAGAAAUAUGUAGACAUGACCUAGAACUGUUUCCGGUCAAUAACCAAUAGUGGAACCUGGAUGUUCAUAUUGGCUCCUAUAUAUUCUACGAAGAUCUUUAUCGGUCAAACCGUAUGACAACAUACGUUGUUCCCUUUGUCAUCGGUAUGUUAUUUGCCCGAGAUUCGAUCGUCGGUAUCCAAUACCUAGUUCAAUCUCGUUACCGGCAAGUCUCUUUACUCGUUCCGUAAUACAUCAUCCCACAACUAACUCAUUAGUUGCAAUGCUUGCAAGGCUUUAAGUGAUGUGUAUUACCGAGAGGGCCCAGAGAUACCUCUCCGACAAUCGGAGUGACAAAACCUAAUCUCGAAAUACGCCAACCCAACAUGUACCUUCGGAGACACCUAUAGAGCACCUUUAUAAUCACCCAGUUACGUUGUUACGUUUGGUAGCACACAAAGUGUUCCUCUGGUAAACGGGAGUUGCAUAAUCUCAUAGUCACAGGAACAUUUAUAAGUCAUGAAGAAAGUAGUAGCAACAUACUAAACGAUCAUGUGCUAAGCUAACAGAAUGGGUCAAGUCAAUCACAUCAUUCUCCUAAUGAUGUGAUCCCGUUAAUCAAAUGACAACUCUUUUGUCCAUGGCUAGGAAACUUAACCAUCUUUGAUUCACGAGCUAGUCAAGUAGAGGCAUACUAGUGACACUAUGUUUGUCUAUGUAUUCACACAUGUAUUGUGUUUCCGGUUAAUACAAUUCUAGCAUGAAUAAUAAACAUUUAUCAUGAAAUAAGGAAAUAAAUAAUAACUUUAUUAUUGCCUCUAGGGCAUAUUUCCUUCACGCCAGCCAUAUUCCAUGCAUUUAGUGCAUUUCUAGGGUUUAACGCCAGUAGUUCAAGAUCUGCGCCGCCACCACAUAAACUCAUGGACGGAUAGGGCUCGAUGUCCCUGCAUGUGGUCCUCGGCCCAUGACUGGGCCCUGUGCACCCAACCGGGAGGAAGGGCCUGGCACCGGGGGCCACGGAGGGGCCGCCAACAUGCGGGUUGUUGCCGUUUAAAUCACCGAAAAUCCUAGAGGAGCCGGUAAUUCAAGUGACCUGGCGCGGCAUCAUCGAACAGCCCCUGGAGGGCGUGGUAAAAAUUUGAGGUCGUUCCGCAGAAGCAUUCUCGGAGGUUGUGUGGAAACUAGACCAUCUCCGAGAAAAGAUCUAGACCAUGAGAGGGAACAUGUCAUGUUUGUGAAGUGGGUGCGGUGCUCGCUCCUCUGUUGGACCUGAAACUUUUUCUGGGCUCACCAGAGUCCAUGCUCCUCGCCUUUUUCGGGGGCGCCAACCAUAUUCCAUGCAUUUAGUGCAUUUCUAGGGUUUAACGCCAGAAAUUCAAGAUUUGCGCCACAUAAACUCAUGGACGGAUAUUGCUUGAGGUCCCUACAUGUGGUCGUCAGUCCAUGCCCAGGCCCUGCGUGCCCAACCGAGAGGGAGGGCCCGGCACCGGGGGCCACGGAGGGGCCGCCUGCGUGCGGUUUGCUGUCAUUUAAACCACCAGAAAUCCUCAAGGGGCCGGUAAUUCGAGGGACCUGGCGCAGCGUCGUCGAACGGCCCCAGGAGGGCACGGUAAAAAUUUGAGGUCGUUCCGCAGAAGCAUUCCCGGAGGUUGUGUGGAAUUUAAACCUUCUCUGAGGACAGAUCUAGACCAUGAGAGAGAACGCGUCCUAUCUGUGAAGUGCACACCAAAGGUCGGAUCAAAAUUUAAUUUUCUUCUCACGAAAACAUCUGUAGCCAGUUCUUGAUGAGGGAAAUAUGAGUUAGAAGCAAUAAACAAAUUGUAUUAUUCUAUUUCUUGUAUGUUAAAUUACGUUUUUAUGCUAUUCAUAUAGGUUAAUUGAUUUCCUGGCUGUGAUGAAACUUACUUUGUCAAAUGGAAAGAGGGCACAAAAUCACAUACCGCAAUCUGUCGCGACUUAUUUUCUUGCUUUAUGUGGUUGUUUAUGUUUUUCCGAAAAGGACAUAUGGGUUAAUUGAUUUCCUAGCUCUCAGCACAGGUGUUGUUCAAUUCAAGAGGAAACUAUGUGUCCUCCUAAAAUCCACUGCCCGUUAGCCCCCUUUUGCCACGGAGCUACACAUCCAUGACA
rnacentral:lncRNA from 1 species